UAAUCAGCCGUGAUUCGUCCGCUGCUGGAUGAAGGCCCACCCCGAGCCGUCGCCACCUCUCAGCAUCACGCGAGGCAGCAGUUGACAGUUGACGGAGCAGCCAAGCUGUGAGACGCCUUACUCGCAGGCAAUUUAGCGGCGUUACGGACGCCUGAGGCCGAUACCAGGGCCUUCAAACUCGCCCUUCGCCGGCCUUCCUAUCCGAGCGUCUUGGGGGCCCCCUCCGACGAACGAUCAAGAAGGAAGGAACCGUGGCACUUGCGUCAUCACGUCACGAUCUCUGCCAUGCAACGCUGCCGGUCCAGAUCGGUACGCCCGCUCAAGCAAAACCGACACUUCACGCGAGACAGUGCCGGACGAGCGCGCCAGUGCGUUCCGCGGGCCCAAUCGUGGGCUCAGUCGAUUCCUGGACACUCUCCUGCAGCGGUGGAUUCCAUCCAAGGCUC